rnacentral:misc_RNA from 1 species
CUGCGGCUGCGAUAGGAGCGGUUACCCCACAGCAAGCGUUGGGAAAAGCUUUGGCGCGAGGAGUAUGAGCGUAUAGCGCGAAUUGUC